CCUACGGGAGUCUGCAGUGAGGAAUAUUGGUCAAUGGACGAGAGUCUGAACCAGCCAAGUAGCGUGAAGGAUGACUGCCCUAUGGGUUGUAAACUUCUUUUAUAUGGGAAUAAAAUGUUCCACGUGUGGGAUUUUGUAUGUACCAUAUGAAUAAGGAUCGGCUAACUCCGUGCCAGCAGCCGCGGUAAUACGGAGGAUCCGAGCGUUAUCCGGAUUUAUUGGGUUUAAAGGGAGCGUAGGUGGAUUGUUAAGUCAGUUGUGAAAGUUUGCGGCUCAACCGUAAAAUUGCAGUUGAAACUGGCAGUCUUGAGUACAGUAGAGGUGGGCGGAAGUCGUGGUGUAGCGGUGAAAUGCUUAGAUAUCACGAAGAACUCCGAUUGCGAAGGCAGUUCACUGGACUGCAACUGACACUGAGGCUCGAAAGUGUGGGUAUCAAACAGGAUUAGAUACCCCAGUAGUC
rnacentral:rRNA from 1 species